UAAGCAGUGAUGAGAAGCUAACAUGUAAGAAGACCCCGCUUGAGUGGGGUUCUUCAAUGAAAUAUUCUUGUUACGCUUGGCUUCUGAGCUUU